AUUGAACGCUGGCGGCAUGCCUUACACAUGCAAGUCGAACGGUAACAGGUCUUCGGAUGCUGACGAGUGGCGAACGGGUGAGUAAUACAUCGGAACGUGCCUAGUAGUGGGGGAUAACUACUCGAAAGAGUGGCUAAUACCGCAUGAGAUCUACGGAUGAAAGCAGGGGAACGCAAGACCUUGUGCUACUAGAGCGGCCGAGGGCAGAUUAGGCAGUCGGGGGGAUAAAAGCUUACCAAGCCGACGAUCUGUAGCUGGUCUGAGAGGACGAUCAGCCACACUGGGACUGAGACACGGCCCAGACUCCUACGGGAGGCAGCAGUGGGGAAUUUUGGACAAUGGGCGCAAGCCUGAUCCAGCAAUGCCGCGUGCAGGAUGAAGGCCUUCGGGUUGUAAACUGCUUUUGUACGGAACGAAAAGCCCCGGGUUAAUACCCUGGGGUCAUGACGGUACCGUAAGAAUAAGCACCGGCUAACUACGUGCCAGCCGCCGCAGUAA
rnacentral:rRNA from 1 species